rnacentral:rRNA from 1 species
UACGUAGGUCCCGAGCGUUGUCCGGAUUUAUUGGGCGUAAAGCGAGCGCAGGUGGUUUAUUAAGUCUGGUGUAAAAGGCAGUGGCUCAACCAUUGUAUGCAUUGGGAACUGGUAGACUUGAGUGCAGGAGAGGAGAGUGGAAUUCCAUGUGUAGCGGUGAAAUGCGUAGAUAUAUGGAGGAACACCGGUGGCGAAAGCGACUCUCUGGCCUGUAACUGACACUGAGGCUCGAAAGCGUGGGGAGCAAACAGG